AUCGUAGCUCAGUGGUAGAGCGUUCGCUUUGCAUGCGAAAGGCCCUGGGUUCGAUACCCAGUAUCUCCA